rnacentral:rRNA from 1 species
UCCGUAGGUGAACCUGCGGAGGGAUCAUUACCGAGUUAUCAACUCCCAAACCCCUGUGAACAUACCUUUUGUUGCCUCGGCGGGAUCGCCCCGGCGCCUUCGGGCCCGGACCCAGGCGCCCGCCGCAGGACCCUAAACUCUUGUUUUCUAUAUGAAUCUUCUGAGUGACACAAGCAAAUAAAUUAAAACUUUCAACAACGGAUCUCUUGGUUCUGGCAUCGAUGAAGAACGCAGCGAAAUGCGAUAAGUAAUGUGAAUUGCAGAAUUCAGUGAAUCAUCGAAUCUUUGAACGCACAUUGCGCCCGGCAGUAUUCUGCCGGGCAUGCCUGUUCGAGCGUCAUUUCAACCCUCAAGCCCCCGGGCUUGGUGUUGGAGAUCGGCCCGCCCCCGUGGCAGGCCGGCUCCGAAAUCUAGUGGCGGUCCCGCUGUAACUUCCUCUGCGUAGUAGCAAUAUCUCGCACCGGAAAGCGACGGAGCCUUGCCGUAAAACCCCCAACUUCUGAAGGUUGACCUCGGAUCAGGUAGGAAUACCCGCUGAACUUAAGCAUAUCAAUAAGCGGAGGA